CGAAUUUGCGUUCGUUAAUUGACCCGUGUUAUCUUUUACUACUCCUCACUCUGCUCUAAUAAAAUUUAAAUCAGAUUAAAACGUCAGUGUUUCAUUUAAAAGGACCAAAGUCUCUCGAAAGUGCCAGAACUCGUGCAAACUUUGACAGAUCGUAAUUGAGGUUAGGUCGAAAAUGUUAUUUAACUCGAUUUUUUGAGUUAUUUAAUGGUUUGUUUAUAUUUUAUUAAACAAACUAAAAAAUACGUAAAGAAAUAAACAGUUAAAACGUACCAUUUAAUUGUUAUUUAUUAAAAAAAAAUAAAACUAGGAGUGAAUCGAUUUUUUGAGGUUAGAUGAAAAGGAUUGUCAUAAACGAAUUUAUUUAUUGAUUAGGGCAUCACGACGUAGGAUGAAAGUGUUUUCAACAUUAAAUUUGGCCGUACGGUUAACUGUACCACAAAAAAUUCCAAGCAACCCCCCAAUAAUCUACGAUAACAGAUUACUUUAUCCUACUGCUUUGUUUAUCGCUGCGAUUGGCUUCGGAGUGUCCUCCUUCAGUUUGAAGCAACUCCUCGAGCAGAGACGUCGUUAAUCAAAGUCAAUAUGAUGCCCCCAAAAACGAUUAUUUUGAAGACAUAAUAAACAAAAUUAUUAUAAUAAUAAUUUAAUUUUUGAAAUAGAAUGCUACAUUUCAUCUAUAUCUUGUAAUUAGAGCUAUGCUAUGUAUAGAUGAAGAUGUUUUGUUAAUUUAAAAAAUGUGUAAAUGUAGAAAGCUUGUGAUUAAUCGUUACAAGAGAUACUAUUAUAAAUACAUUUUUUUGAGGGAUAAAUAAAGAGAUGAGUAGGA